CACGUAGGGGGCGAGCGUUGUCCGGAUUUAUUGGGCGUAAAGAGCGUGUAGGCGGCCAUGUAGGUCCGGUGUGAAAACUCGAGGCUUAACCUCGAGAUGUCAUCGGAAACCAUUUGGCUAGAGUCCGGAAGAGGAGAGUGGAAUUCCUGGUGUAGCGGUGGAAUGCGCAGAUAUCAGGAGGAACACCGGUGGCGAAGGCGGGUCUCUGGGCAGUAACUGACGCUGAGGAGCGAAAGCGUGGGGAGCGAACAGG
rnacentral:rRNA from 1 species